GACGAACGCUGGCGGCGUGCUUAACACAUGCAAGUCGAACGGAAAGGCCCUGCUUUUGUGGGGUGCUCGAGUGGCGAACGGGUGAGUAACACGUGAGUAACCUGCCCUUGACUUUGGGAUAACUUCAGGAGACUGGGGCUAAUACCGGAUAGGAGCUCCUGCUGCAUGGUGGGGGUUGGAAAGUUUCGGCGGUUGGGGAUGGACUCGCGGCUUAUCAGCUUGUUGGUGGGGUAGUGGCUUACCAAGGCUUUGACGGGUAGCCGGCCUGGGAGGGUGACCGGCCACAUUGGGACUGAGAUACGGCCCAGACUCCUACGGGAGGCAGCAGUGGGGAAUAUUGCACAAUGGGCGGAAGCCUGAUGCAGCAACGCCGCGUGCGGGAUGACGGCCUUCGGGUUGUAAACCGCUUUCGCCUGUGACGAAGCGUGAGUGACGGUAAUGGGUAAAGAAGCACCGGCUAACUACGUG
rnacentral:rRNA from 1 species